GGUUGGGUAACAUAAUGGUAAUGUGUGAGAUUGCAAAUCUUAGAAUGGCGGUUCAAUUCCGCCCCCAACCUCC
rnacentral:tRNA from 1 species